rnacentral:rRNA from 1 species
UACGGAGGGUGCAAGCGUUAUCCGGAUUCACUGGGUUUAAAGGGUGCGUAGGUGGGUCUGUAAGUCAGUGGUGAAAUCCCCGAGCUUAACUUGGGAACUGCCGUUGAUACUAUAGAUCUUGAAUAUCGUGGAGGUAAGCGGAAUAUGUCAUGUAGCGGUGAAAUGACUUAGAUAUGACAUAGAACACCAAUUGCGAAGGCAGCUUACUACACGAUCAUUGACACUGAGGCACGAAAGCGUGGGGAGCAAACAGG